AGAGCCGGAAGGGAGUGGGGGGAGUUGGGACUGCAAUUGUCCUCCAGAUUUUUGAACGAAAACAGAUUCAGAGCCGAGGGAGUGAAAACUUAAGCCUCCGGGCACGGAACUCUAGUUCCCGGGAGGCGCGGUCCCCGCUUUCCUGCUGGGGCGCCCGGGCGCUGGGCGUCCGCCGCUUGGCUGCGGAGGUGCGGUGGCUGCGUCUCGGGGAGCUCGGGCCUUUCUGUGGCUCCCAGGCUCUGCGGCGCGACUCUGGGCUCGGGCGUCCCCAGGCCCUGGCCGACCUCGCCAGCCGCAGAGCCCACCGCCUCCCCCGCUGGCGUAAACCGAACACGCCCUGCCUCGGGCCUCGGGCCUCGGCCCCGCCCGCCCGGCUGCCGGGCACUGGCGGGCGCAGGGAGGCUCAGCUUGCGACGCGAUAACGCGUGUAUUUGCCUACAAUAGAAUUCAAAGGACUAAAGAAUCUGUGUGAUGCUACAGAUGAAAGCCCUGCCCAGUUGCACAACAGUCAAGGGGACUUCUACUUUGGGGCCUCAGAGCAAAUGAGAAUGCCGAAGUUUGGACUCUAAGACCUAUCAGUACAGUCAAGUAAGCAAGCCAACCCUAAAACUCUGGAUGAGGACGCAGUGUCAGAGGAUGGGCACGCCCUGUGAGCCCGGAUCUAGGGAGCAGAACCCCCUACCAAUCUACUUUGGGUGCAUCUGCCCUGACUGACACAUUUGCCUUGAAGGUAUCAGAGCAACAUGCUAUACUGAGUUUCAUCAACACUGACUGCCACUCAGCUACACAUUAGCAAUGAAAGCCAUGUCCUCUGUUCCCAGGACCUUUUGCUGAAUGCUUUUUGAAUAAGAAAAAAUAGAACUUUACUUACCAUUAUUUUUCCCUCCAAGUAGGUUAGAAGUGGGAUAAGUCUGAGCAGAUAAGGAAAACAAGAAAGAGCAGACAGUGCUCUGACUGAGCUGUGAUUAUUGAGUGCCUACUAACUAGAAACUGUAGGGUCUCCAAUAUCUGAAAAGACAGACCCACUUUCCAUAAGAUGUUGACACCCAAAGUCAGUCAUUAGUUUA